rnacentral:misc_RNA from 1 species
UCUCCGUUGGUGAACCAGCGGAGGGAUCAUUACAGGGUUGCAAAACUCCCAAACCAUUGUGAACGUUACCUAUCCCGUUGCUUCGGCGGGCGGCCCGGGCCCCGCGCCCGGCGCCCCCCGGCCCCCCGUGGGCGCCCGCCGGAGGUAAACCAAACCCUUGAAUUGCAUGGCCUCUCUGAGUCUUCUGUACUGAAUAAGUCAAAACUUUCAACAACGGAUCUCUUGGUUCUGGCAUCGAUGAAAAACGCAGC